AGCGAACGCUGGCGGCAGGCCUAACACAUGCAAGUCGAACGGAUCCUUCGGGAUUAGUGGCGGACGGGUGAGCAACACGUGGGAACGUGCCCUUUGGUUCGGAACAACUCAGGGAAACUUGAGCUAAUACCGGAUGUGCCCUUCGGGGGAAAGAUUUAUCGCCAUUGGAGCGGCCCGCGUCUGAUUAGCUAGUUGGUGAGGUAAAGGCUCACCAAGGCGACGAUCAGUAGCUGGUCUGAGAGGAUGAUCAGCCACAUUGGGACUGAGACACGGCCCAAACUCCUACGGGAGGCAGUAGUGGGGAAUCUUGCGCAAUGGGCGAAAGCCUGACGCAGCCAUGCCGCGUGAAUGAUGAAGGUCUUAGGAUUGUAAAAUUCUUUCACCGGGGACGAUAAUGACGGUACCCGGAGAAGAAGCCCCGGCUAACUUCGUGCCAGCCGCCGCAGUAAUAC
rnacentral:rRNA from 1 species